AUGAACGCUGGCGGCGUGCCUAAUACAUGCAAGUCGAGCGAACGGACGAGAAGCUUGCUUCUCUGAUGUUAGCGGCGGACGGGUGAGUAACACGUGGAUAACCUACCUAUAAGACUGGGAUAACUUCGGGAAACCGGAGCUAAUACCGGAUAAUAUUUUGAACCGCAUGGUUCAAAAGUGAAAGACGGUCUUGCUGUCACUUAUAGAUGGAUCCGCGCUGCAUUAGCUAGUUGGUAAGGUAACGGCUUACCAAGGCAACGAUGCAUAGCCGACCUGAGAGGGUGAUCGGCCACACUGGAACUGAGACACGGUCCAGACUCCUACGGGAGGCAGCAGUAGGGAAUCUUCCGCAAAGGGCGAAAGCCUGACGGAGCAACGCCGCGUGAGUGAUGAAGGUCUUCGGAUCGUAAAACUCUGUUAUUAGGGAAGAACAUAUGUGUAAGUAACUGUGCACAUCUUGUCGGUACCUAAUCAGAAAGCCACGGCUAACUACGUG
rnacentral:rRNA from 1 species